CUUGUCAUGAAACGUCAAGAGAGAAACGACAAAAACAAGACAUUUUGUUCAAAUCGUGUGUUUGUUUUCCCGUGCCACCCACCAAAUUAUUACCAAUUAAUUGCUGGAAUGGGGGGUUUCAAAGUGCUCCAGGAUAAAACGCAAUUCUUCGGAACCCGAUCGAACCACCAUCCGUUUGGAAACACCAUCGAAGUUGCCAGAUCGCUAAUGGAAAAUACGACAAAAUUUUUAAUCAACGAAAGUAUGAUUUCAACGAAUCAUAUUAAUCAACGAAAAAAUGAUUUUCAUUGGACAUUGGUGCAACACAAAAGGUAUUCGAUCGUAAAGGUGGAUAUUUAUUCCAGUUCAGAAGAAGAGGCAAGCAGUUCAUGCGACUCAAAAAAGCGAUGC